GACGAGCGCUGGCGGCGUGUCUAAUACAUGCAAGUAGAACGCACAGUUUAUACCGUAGCUUGCUACACCAUAGACUGUGAGUUGCGAACGGGUGAGUAACGCGUAGGUAACCUGCCUGGUAGCGGGGGAUAACUAUUGGAAACGAUAGCUAAUACCGCAUAAUAUUAAUUAUUGCAUGAUAAUUAAUUGAAAGGUGCAAUUGCACCACUACCAGAUGGACCUGCGUUGUAUUAGCUAGUAGGUGAGGUAACGGCUCACCUAGGCGACGAUACAUAGCCGACCUGAGAGGGUGAUCGGCCACACUGGGACUGAGACACGGCCCAGACUCCUACGGGAGGCAGCAGUAGGGAAUCUUCGGCAAUGGACGAAAGUCUGACCGAGCAACGCCGCGUGAGUGAAGAAGGUUUUCGGAUCGUAAAGCUCUGUUGUAAGAGAAGAACGGGUGUGAGAGUGGAAAGUUCACACUGUGACGGUAUCUUACCAGAAAGGGACGGCUAACUACGUG
rnacentral:rRNA from 1 species